AUGGCUUCGUCAGCUCGUGUCGUGAGAUGUUGGGUUAAGUCCCGCAACGAGCGCAACCCCUAUCCCAUGUUGCCAGCGGGUAAUGCCGGGGACUCGUGGGAGACUGCCGGUGCCAAACCGGAGGAAGGUGGGGAUGACGUCAAGUCCUCAUGCCCCUUACGUCCAGGGCUGCACACGUGCUACAAUGGCCGGUACAAAGGGCUGCAAUCCCGCGAGGGGGAGCGAAUCCCAAAAAGCCGGUCUCAGUUCGGAUCGCAGUCUGCAACUCGACUGCGUGAAGCUGGAGUCGCUAGUAAUCGCGGAUCAGCAUUGCCGCGGUGAAUACGUUCCCGGGCCUUGUACACACCGCCCGUCACACCACGGGAGUGAGCAACACCCGAAGCCGGUGGCCUAACCCGCAAGGGAGGGAGCCGUCGAAGGUGGGGCUCGUGACUGGGGUGAAGUCGUAACAAGGUAGCCGUAGCGGAAGCUGCGGCUGGAUCACCUCCUUUCUAGGGAGCACCUAGCGGUGCCCCGAUCCAGGGUCUCUCGUAAGAGGGUCCCGUGCGGUCGCCAGACCCUUGAGGUCAGGCGAUGACUAAGCGGAUCGGGCCUAGCAUGUCGACCGAACCUGGCUGGAUGGCCGCCGAUCGCUUGAGCCCUUCUACUUGGGCAGAUGGCGAGAAUCGGCCGCAAACGAUCCCAGCAUGCUGUUGAGUUUUGAGAGACCGGCGCUCGCCGGUAGCCGCGAGGACGCGCCAAUGUGGUGCGACCAUCAAUGCGCGGAGGCCGGCCGGCGUUAUACGCCUCUCCACGGUCCUUGAAAACUGCACAGAUGCCACAUCAGCCGCCAUCGAUAAGCGGCGGCUGAAAAACGGGUAUCACCGGGCCCUGCAAGACCUUCGGGUCUCGUUGGGCCAGAUCACCGUCAAGAUAGUAAGGGCGCAUGGUGGAUGCCUUGGCACCAAGAGUCGAUGAAGGGCGUGAACGGCUGCGAUAAGCCACGGUUAGGCGCUGAAUAGCCUUUGACCCGUGGAUUCCCGAAUGGGGAAACCCGG
rnacentral:sRNA from 1 species